rnacentral:rRNA from 1 species
GAUAAACGCUGGCGGCGUGCCUAACACAUGCAAGUCGAACGCCCUUAGCAAUAAGGGAGUGGCGGACGGGUGAGGAACACGUGGGUCAUCUACCUUGAGGUGAGGAAUACCACCGGGAAACCGGUGACAAUACCGCAUACGCUCUCUCACGAGAGCAAAGCUCUUCGGGGCGCCACAAGAUGAGCCUGCGGCCGAUUAGCUAGCUGGUAAGGUAAUGGCUUACCAGGGCGACGAUCGGUAACUGGUCUGAGAGGACGGUCAGUCACACUGGGAUUGAGAACGGCCCAGACUCCUACGGGGGGCAGCAGUGAGGAAUUUUCGUCAAUGGGGGCAACCCUGAACGAGCAACGCCGCGUGCAGGAUGACGCCUUUCGGGGUGUAAACUGCUUUUCUCUGGGACGAGAACGGACGGUACCAGAGGAAUCAGCUCCGGCUAACUACGUGCCAGCAGCCGCCGUAAUAC